rnacentral:rRNA from 1 species
UACGUAGGGGGCAAGCGUUGUCCGGAUUUAUUGGGCGUAAAGAGCGUGUAGGCGGCUUUACAGGUCCGUUGUGAAAACUCGAGGCUCAACCUCGAGACGCCGGUGGAAACCGUAAAGCUAGAGUCCGGAAGAGGAGAGUGGAAUUCCUGGUGUAGCGGUGAAAUGCGCAGAUAUCAGGAAGAACACCGGUGGCGAAGGCGGCUCUCUGGACGGUGACUGACGCUGAGACGCGAAAGCGUGGGGAGCAAACAGG